rnacentral:rRNA from 1 species
GAAAAUGUUGUCUCUCUUGAGUGGAUCCUGAGUACGACGGAGCACGUGAAAUUCCGUCGGAAUCUGGGAGGACCAUCUCCUAAGGCUAAAUACUCUCUAGUGACCGAUAGUGAACCAGUACCGUGAGGGAAAGGUGAAAAGCACCCCGGAAGGGGAGUGAAAUAGAACCUGAAACCGUGUGCUUACAAGUAGUCAGAGCCCGUUAAUGGGUGAUGGCGUGCCUUUUGUAGAAUGAACCGGCGAGUUACGAUUUGAUGCAAGGUUAAGCAGUAAAUGUGGAGCCGUAGCGAAAGCGAGUCUGAAUAGGGCGUUUAGUAUUUGGUCGUAGACCCGAAACCAGGUGAUCUACCCUUGGUCAGGUUGAAGUUCAGGUAACACUGAAUGGAGGACCGAACCGACUUACGUUGAAAAGUGAGCGGAUGAACUGAGGGUAGCGGAGAAAUUCCAAUCGAACCUGGAGAUAGCUGGUUCUCUCCGAAAUAGCUUUAGGGCUAGCCUCAAGUGAUGAUUAUUGGAGGUAGAGCACUGUUUGGACGAGGGGCCCCUCUCGGGUUACCGAAUUCAGACAAACUCCGAAUGCCAAUUAAUUUAACUUGGGAGUCAGAACAUGGGUGAUAAGGUCCGUGUUCGAAAGGGAAACAGCCCAGACCACCAGCUAAGGUCCCAAAAUAUAUGUUAAGUGGAAAAGGAUGUGGCGUUGCCCAGACAACUAGGAUGUUGGCUUAGAAGCAGCCAUCAUUUAAAGAGUGCGUAAUAGCUCACUAGUCGAGUGACACUGCGCCGAAAAUGUACCGGGGCUAAACAUAUUACCGAAGCUGUGGAUUGUCCUUUGGACAAUGGUAGGAGAGCGUUCUAAGGGCGUUGAAGCAUGAUCGUAAGGACAUGUGGAGCGCUUAGAAGUGAGAAUGCCGGUGUGAGUAGCGAAAGACGGGUGAGAAUCCCGUCCACCGAUUGACUAAGGUUUCCAGAGGAAGGCUCGUCCGCUCUGGGUUAGUCGGGUCCUAAGCUGAGGCCGACAGGCGUAGGCGAUGGAUAACAGGUUGAUAUUCCUGUACCACCUAUAAUCGUUUUAAUCGAUGGGGGGACGCAGUAGGAUAGGCGAAGCGUGCGAUUGGAUUGCACGUCUAAGCAGUAAGGCUGAGUAUUAGGCAAAUCCGGUACUCGUUAAGGCUGAGCUGUGAUGGGGAGAAGACAUUGUGUCUUCGAGUCGUUGAUUUCACACUGCCGAGAAAAGCCUCUAGAUAGAAAAUAGGUGCCCGUACCGCAAACCGACACAGGUAGUCAAGAUGAGAAUUCUAAGGUGAGCGAGCGAACUCUCGUUAAGGAACUCGGCAAAAUGACCCCGUAACUUCGGGAGAAGGGGUGCUCUUUAGGGUUAACGCCCAGAAGAGCCGCAGUGAAUAGGCCCAAGCGACUGUUUAUCAAAAACACAGGUCUCUGCUAAACCGUAAGGUGAUGUAUAGGGGCUGACGCCUGCCCGGUGCUGGAAGGUUAAGAGGAGUGGUUAGCUUCUGCGAAGCUACGAAUCGAAGCCCCAGUAAACGGCGGCCGUAACUAUAACGGUCCUAAGGUAGCGAAAUUCCUUGUCGGGUAAGUUCCGACCCGCACGAAAGGCGUAACGAUUUGGGCACUGUCUCAACGAGAGACUCGGUGAAAUCAUAGUACCUGUGAAGAUGCAGGUUACCCGCGACAGGACGGAAAGACCCCGUGGAGCUUUACUGUAGCCUGAUAUUGAAAUUCGGCACAGCUUGUACAGGAUAGGUAGGAGCCUUUGAAACGUGAGCGCUAGCUUACGUGGAGGCGCUGGUGGGAUACUACCCUAGCUGUGUUGGCUUUCUAACCCGCACCACUUAUCGUGGUGGGAGACAGUGUCAGGCGGGCAGUUUGACUGGGGCGGUCGCCUCCUAAAAGGUAACGGAGGCGCUCAAAGGUUCCCUCAGAAUGGUUGGAAAUCAUUCAUAGAGUGUAAAGGCAUAAGGGAGCUUGACUGCGAGACCUACAAGUCGAGCAGGGUCGAAAGACGGACUUAGUGAUCCGGUGGUUCCGCAUGGAAGGGCCAUCGCUCAACGGAUAAAAGCUACCCCGGGGAUAACAGGCUUAUCUCCCCCAAGAGUUCACAUCGACGGGGAGGUUUGGCACCUCGAUGUCGGCUCAUCGCAUCCUGGGGCUGUAGUCGGUCCCAAGGGUUGGGCUGUUCGCCCAUUAAAGCGGUACGCGAGCUGGGUUCAGAACGUCGUGAGACAGUUCGGUCCCUAUCCGUCGUGGGCGUAGGAAAUUUGAGAGGAGCUGUCCUUAGUACGAGAGGACCGGGAUGGACAUACCUCUGGUGUACCAGUUGUCGUGCCAACGGCAUAGCUGGGUAGCUAUGUGUGGACGGGAUAAGUGCUGAAAGCAUCUAAGCAUGAAGCCCCCCUCAAGAUGAGAUUUCCCAACUUCGGUUAUAAGAUCCCUCAAAGAUGAUGAGGUUAAUAGGUUCGAGGUGGAAGCAUGGUGACAUGUGGAGCUGACGAAUACUAAUCGAUCGAAGACUUAAUCAA